UACCAGCACCCCGAGUGGUCGGGACGUUUAUUGGGCCUAAAGCAUCCGUAGCCGGUUCUACAAGUCUUCCGUUAAAUCCACCUGCUUAACAGAUGGGCUGCGGAAGAUACUAUGGAGCUAGGAGGCGGGAGAGGCAAGCGGUACUCGAUGGGUAGGGGUAAAAUCCGUUGAUCCAUUGAAGACCACCAGUGGCGAAGGCGGCUUGCCGGACCGCGCUCGACGGUGAGGGAUGAAAGCUGGGGUAGCAAACCGG
rnacentral:rRNA from 1 species